UAUACUAUACUUUCAGUGAUCAUUUCUAUACUUGGUUAGUAGGGAAAUUGCUCUGAAUGUGUAGGCAGCAGAAACCACAAAGAGGAGGCGCAGCAUCCUCCCCUGAGCGUGUUGCUUCCCUGCAACUGCCCUUUGCCAUUGAUGAUAGUUCUUCUCUUCUUCUGCGAGAGUAAGAGGGACAGGACACAGUCUGGAUGGU
ensembl:snoRNA U3 Small nucleolar RNA U3